rnacentral:rRNA from 1 species
GAGUUUGAUCCUGGCGUCAGGAUAAACGCUGGCGGCGUGCCUAAUACAUGCAAGUCGAACGAGGAAGGCAAGCUUGCUUGCCGGAACGAGUGGCGAACGGGUGAGUAAUACAUAAGCAACCUGCCUGUAAGACCGGGAUAAUGCCUGAAACGGGUCUAAACCGGAUAGGCAUAGAUGGGGCAUCCCAUUUAUGUUAAAGGUGAGAGACACAAACAGAUGGGCUUAUGGCGCAUUAGCCAGUUGGUGAGGUAAACGGGCCCACCAAAGCGAUGAUGCGUAGCCGGCCUGAGAGGGUGAACGGCCACAUUGGGACUGAGACACGGCCCAGACUCCUACGGGAGGCAGCAGUAGGGAAUUUUCGGCAAUGGGGGAACCCUGACCGAGCAACGCCGCGUGAGUGAAGAAGGUUUUCGGAUUGUAAAGCUCUGUUGCAAGGGAAGAACGGCACAUAGAGGAUAUGUGAGUGACGGUACCUUGCGAGGAAGCCACGGCUAACUACGUGCC